CUGGGCUCGAACGGCUUUGGAUCAUCUUUGGAAACAGAGACUUCUCGCAAGAGACCGGAGUCGAGGUGCUGCAUGGCUGUCGUCAGCUCGUGUCGUGAGAUGUUGGGUUAAGUCCCGCAACGAGCGCAACCCUUGUCCUGUGUUGCCACUCCCGUAAGGGAAGCACUCUCAGGAGACCGCCAGCGAUAAGUUGGAGGAAGGUGGGGAUGAUGUCAAGUCAUCAUGGCCUUUAUGUCCAGGGCUACACACGUGCUACAAUGGACGGUACAAAGCGCUGCAAACCCGCGAGGGGGAGCCAAUCGCAAAAAACCGUUCUCAGUUCGGAUCGCAGGCUGCAACUCGCCUGCGUGAAGCUGGAAUCGCUAGUAAUGGCGUAUCAGAACGAUGCCGUGAAUACGUUCCC
rnacentral:rRNA from 1 species